rnacentral:rRNA from 1 species
AUGGCGAAAAUUAGAGUGGAUGGUGCAGUCGCACGUGAUCUCAAUGAAGGUACAUUUAGUGCAGUUUGCAGGGAUUCAACCGGAACAUAUAUUGGAUUUUCAGUCAUCCGGACUAGGGGAAUUUCUGACUCAGCCACUCUGGAGGCAUUAGCGUGUCGUGAAGCUCUGGCGCUAGCCUCGGAUCUUGCACUAUAACAUGUGUUGGUGGCCUCGGACUGCCAAGGUGUGAUUCAUGAUGUCAAGAACAAUACUGGAGGAGUUUAUGCAAGUAUCAUAAAAGAGAUUUUGGAAACAUCUAGGAAUUUUUAGCAUUGUUCCUUCAUCUCCGAAAGGCGAGAGUCUAAUUUUGAGGCACAUAGCCUCGCUAAACAUGCUUUUGGUCUGGAGUUCGGGCGCCAUGUGUAG